rnacentral:rRNA from 1 species
UACAGAGGGUGCGAGCGUUAAUCGGAUUUACUGGGCGUAAAGCGUGCGUAGGCGGCCAAUUAAGUCAAAUGUGAAAUCCCCGAGCUUAACUUGGGAAUUGCAUUCGAUACUGGUUGGCUAGAGUAUGGGAGAGGAUGGUAGAAUUCCAGGUGUAGCGGUGAAAUGCGUAGAGAUCUGGAGGAAUACCGAUGGCGAAGGCAGCCAUCUGGCCUAAUACUGACGCUGAGGUACGAAAGCAUGGGGGCAAACAGGAUUAGAUACCCGUA